UAGGGUGUUGCUAGGCGGUUGCUAGGCGGUUGCUAUGGUAUCCGGGGUGGUUGCUAAGGUGUUGCUAGGUGGUUGCUAGGCGGUUGCUAAGGUGUUGCUAUGGUAUCCGAGGUGGUUGCUAAAUGGUUACUAGGCAGUUCCUAACGUAUUCCACAUGGUUGCUAAGUGGUUGCUAGGCACUUGCUAAUGUUUUCCAGGUGGUUGCUAAGGUGUAUCUAACUGGUUGCUAGGCAGUUGCUAAUAUUUCUGAAGUGGUUGCUAAGCAGUUGCUAGGCAGUUGUUAACGUUUUCCAGGUGGUUGCUAAGGUGUUGCUAACUGGUUGCUAGGCAGUUGCUAACGUAUUCCACAUGGUUGCUAAGUGGUUGCUAGGCAGUCGCUAACAUUUUCCAGGUGGUUGCUAAGGUGUUGCUAACUGGUUGCUAGGCAGUUGCUAACAUAUUCCAGACAUAAAAAGAAAGAGAAAGCAAGACAUAGAAAAGUAGAGUGAAAGAGAAGUAGAGAGAAGAGCGAGAAAUAAAGAAAGAGUAAGAGAGAAUAGAGAAAUAGAAAAGUAGCGAGAAAGAGAAAUUGAGACGUAGAGAGAGAGAGUGAGAAAGAGAGAAAGAAAGAGUGAGAAAUAGAGAAGUAGAGAGUAAAAGAGAGAGUGAGAAAUAGAGACGUAGAGAGAGAGUGAGAAAGAGAGUGAGAAAUUCAGAAGUAGAGUGAGAAAGAGAGUGAGAAAUAGAGAAGUAGAGAGCAAAAGAGAGUGAGAAAUAGAGAAGUAGAGAGAGUGAGAAAGAGAGAGUGAGAAAUAAAGAAAUGUAAAGAGCAAAAGAGAGAGUGAGAAAUAGAGAAGUAGAGAGAAAAAGAUAUAGAGACAUAGAGCGUGAGAAAGAGAUAAGUAGAGAGCAAAAGAGAGUGAGAAAUAGAGAAGUAGAGAGCAAAAGAGAGAGUGAGAAAUAGAGACGUAGAGAGAGUGAGAAAUAGAGAAGUAGAGAGCAAAA